AGUGAACGCUGGCGGUAGGCCUAACACAUGCAAGUCGAACGGCAGCACAGUAAGAGCUUGCUCUUACGGGUGGCGAGUGGCGGACGGGUGAGGAAUACAUCGGAAUCUACUUUUUCGUGGGGGAUAACGUAGGGAAACUUACGCUAAUACCGCAUACGACCUACGGGUGAAAGCAGGGGAUCUUCGGACCUUGCGCGAUUGAAUGAGCCGAUGUCGGAUUAGCUAGUUGGCGGGGUAAAGGCCCACCAAGGCGACGAUCCGUAGCUGGUCUGAGAGGAUGAACAGCCACACUGGAACUGAGACACGGUCCAGACUCCUACGGGAGGCAGCAGUGGGGAAUAUUGGACAAUGGGCGCAAGCCUGAUCCAGCCAUACCGCGUGGGUGAAGAAGGCCUUCGGGUUGUAAAGCCCUUUUGUUGGGAAAGAAAAGCAGCAGGUUAAUACCCCGCUGUUCUGACGGUACCCAAAGAAUAAGCACCGGCUAACUUCG
rnacentral:rRNA from 1 species